AUCCAGCUAACGAGUCCCAAAUAGGACAAAACGCGCGUUCUGGAA
rnacentral:hammerhead_ribozyme from 1 species